UACGGAGGGUGCGAGCGUUGUCCGGAAUCACUGGGCGUAAAGGGCGCGUAGGCGGCGCGAGCAGUCGAUCGUGAAAGUCCGGAGCUCAACUCCGGAUCGGCGGUCGAUACUCUCGUGCUUGAGCACUGUAGAGGCAGAUGGAAUUCCGGGUGUAGCGGUGGAAUGCGUAGAGAUCCGGAAGAACACCGGUGGCGAAGGCGGUCUGCUGGGCAGCUUGCUGACGCUGAGGCGCGACACGUGGGGAGG
rnacentral:rRNA from 1 species